GGGCUCAUAUCAUGCAAAAUCCACUUUUUAGACAUUUUGGAGCGUCCCUAUGACUCUAUGGGUCACAUAUACACACACUGAGCACGGUAGAAAUGCAUUUCCUGCUUUUUUCACAUUUUGAAAACGUAAAUUUUCUCACCCAAUGAAAACAGACCACGACCUACUCUGAGACCGUGUCCCAUGUGUCGUCACACUGGUUGAAAGUUCUCCCUGCAAAUCCUGAACCACCACCCCCACAAUGAUCCCGAACCAAAACUGGACUUCCGCCAUUUCCCCCCUCUCACUCACCGUGAACAGACCAGCACGGCAGCGCCCAAGUCCUCCCAUAGAAAUAGUUCGGUUCUUGGGUGUUCUAACCAACACCAAAGUCUAUUCACUUUAACAAGGGAUCAACAAGUGAGGAUUUGUGGGUCACUUUUAUUUUUAACGGACCGGUGCCAGAAACACUGCCUAUACGUAUGUGCAUUUCAAACGAGGGUGCGUACAAUGCUGGAUUUGUUUCACGGCUCCUGUUGGAAAAAAAAGGAUCUAUUCCUAAAGUCCGUCAUCCACUCACUGAAGUAAGUACAUGCUUGAUAUUUAUAAUGUUUUAAAAUGUUAGUUUGUCCGUUUAAAUGUAGUAACCUAUGUGUGGGGCAAGUUACUAGCUAGCUAUGCUAACGGCUACAGCCAUUCGACCGAGCCUUUGUCCCCUUCAAAUGUGCUCAUGUGGGCUCCUGCAGCCACACACCUGUGUGGAGAAAAGCUAAUGACUAACGGCAUCGAGCGGCUACGGGCAGGGAGCGGUGGGUCUAGCGUCUGUCCUUUUUCUGUAAUCACAUACACCUGCGGGGAACAGCUGAUCGUUAUCGCCCUUCCAGCGGUGACAGACAGGAAGCGGUGGAUCUAGCUCGCUGUAGGAGGCACAUCCCAGUUACCCACAUGCAAGGAGGCUGUCAAACAGAGAAAUCACUGCAGACUGUUGGUACACGGACAUCUGCUGCCCAGCUCAGGAGUAAAGUACCUUUUUGUUUCGAUGAGGUGAUGGUGAGGACAGCCACAGCUUCCAUCUGGUAGAGGACUGCUUCCGCUCAGUCUUCCAAAUAGUGAUGAGAACAAGGAUCACCACAUCUCCCUGUUUACCCUACUUUCAUGCAUUUCGUCUGCAAGGCCCUGCAAAAGCUUCUGACCUCAAACCCCCAGACUUCUUAAUUAACUCAGUAACCUAUACAUUGCACAUUGGAGUGUGAAGGUAACAGUUUGUUCUAGCUUUGGAGUAGUGGUGCAUUUUUUUGGUUUACAAUAAAGUUGUCUUUAACUAUUA